UGCAGUCGAACGGUGUCUUCGGACAUAGUGGCGCACGGGUGCGUAACACCUAUGCAACCUACCUUACGUUGGGGGAUAGCCUUUCAAAAGGGAGAUUAAUACCGCAUAAGACAGUAACUAGGCAUCUAAUAGCUGUUAAAGAUUUAUCGAUGUAAGCUGGGCAUGCGACCAAUUAGGUAGCUGGUGAGGUAAGGGCUCACCCAGGCUAUGAUUGGUAAGGGAACUGACAGGUCAAUCCCCCACACUGGCACUGAUAUACGGGCCAGACUCCUACAGGAGGCAACAGUGGGGAAUAUUGGGCAAUGGACGCGAGUCUGACCCAACCAUGCCGCGUGCAGGAUGAAGGCCUUAUGCGUUGUAAACUGCUUUUAUACACGAAGAAACGACUCUUGCCAGAGGCAUUGACGGCACUGUAUGAAUAACCACCGGCUAACUCCGUGCCAGCAGCCGCGGUAAUACAGAGGGUGCAAGCGUUGUCCGGAUUUAUUGGGUUUAAAGGGUGCGCAGGUGGUUUAUUAAUGUCAGUGGUGAAAGACGGUCGCUCAACGAUUGCAGUGCCAUUGAAACUGGUAGACUUAGAGUAAAGUAGAAGUGGGCGGAAUUGAUACUGUAGCGGAGAAAUGCAUAUAUAUUAUCAAGAACUCCAAUAGCGUAGGCAGCUCACUUGGCUUUUACUGACACUCAUGCACGA
rnacentral:rRNA from 1 species